CGUUGAAACACAGAUUCUCGUACGAUCACUGUAGUUAAGCAACGUCGGGCCUAGACAGUACCUAGAUGGGUGAUUGGUUGGAAAUACUAGGUGCUGUAAG